CUCGGCGUGGACGGGCGUGACCGUCUCACCGGUGACACCGGUGACGGUCGUGGGCUGCCACAGCGGACGGUCCGUCUGGAACGGGCCGCCGAAGC
rnacentral:tRNA from 1 species